GCUUCCCUGGCAAAGUGGAAGUCAGAAGCCACCAGGCAGAGUGACCCUCUCACAGACCACUUAUCUUCACAGGAAACUGUUUCGGGAUUAGAGGGAAGUUAUGCAAGGUCUGCUGGAUGAUAUCAGCACAUCUGGACAGCUCAGCAACUGGGGAGUUUUGAGGAAAGAGAAGACAAACAGAGAAGAAACUCGGGGUUUUCUCAGCUUAGGGCAGGCACAAGGAUGCCGGCAUUUCAGGUCUCAGCCUGCCACUAGUGGUCCUCUGCUUGCAAGCCUGUCCCCAUGCCCCAGCUGAUAGCCUUGUGUUGCUGCCUGGAGGAACUUGACCG